rnacentral:pre_miRNA from 1 species
AGGAGCAACAGCCCUAGUGGCGGGGCCAGCUCUGCAGCCCUGGAUUCAUCUCCGGCAGGAACUCCGGAGCUCUCGGUCUGCAGGGCCUGGAGGCUCCGGGCGGGG